rnacentral:rRNA from 1 species
UAGGAUGCUGGCGUAAUGGUUGUAAGCGGCCCGUCUUGAAACACGGACCAAGGAGUCUAACAUCUGUGCGAGUGUUUGGGUGUCAAACCCGUACGCGUAAUGAAAGUGAACGGAGGCGGGAACCCCUCGGGGUGCACCGUCGACCGAUCCUGAUGUCUUCGGAUGGAUUUGAGUAAGAGCAUAGCUGUUGGGACCCGAAAGAUGGUGAACUAUGCCUGAAUAGGGUGAAGCCAGAGGAAACUCUGGUGGAGGCUCGCAGCGGUUCUGACGUGCAAAUCGAUCGUCAAAUUUGGGCAUAGGGGCGAAAGACUAAUCGAACUAUCUAGUAGCUGGUUCCUGCCGAAGUUUCCCUCAGGAUAGCAGUAACGUUUUCAGUUUUAUGAGGUAAAGCGAAUGAUUAGAGGCCUGGGGGUUGAAACAACCUUCACCUAUUCUCAAACUUUAAAUAUGUAAGAAGUCCUUGUUGCUUAGUUGAACGUGGACAUUUGAAUGUAUCGUUACUAGUGGGCCAUUUUUGGUAAGCAGAACUGGCGAUGCGGGAUGAACCGAACGCGGAGUUAAGGUGCCGGAAUGCACGCUCAUCAGACACCACAAAAGGUGUUAGUUCAUCUAG